CCCUUAGAUGUUCUGGGCCGCGCGCGCUACACUGACGAAUGCAACGAGCUUAUAACCUUGGCCGAAAGGUCUGGGUAAUCUCCAAAUUUCGUCGUGAUGGGGAUAGAUUAUUGCAAUUAUUAAUCUUCAACGAGGAAUGCCUAGUAAGCGCAAGUCAUCAGCUUGCGUUGAUUACGUCCCUGCCCUUUGUACACACCGCCCGUCGCUCCUACCGAUUGAAUGGUCCGGUGAAGCGUUCGGACCGUGGCCUUUGGACGGUUCGCCGUCUGUUGGCUGCGGGAAGUUCGUUAAACCUUAUCAUUUAGAGGAAGGAGAAGUCGUAACA
rnacentral:rRNA from 1 species